rnacentral:rRNA from 1 species
AGUGAACGCUGGCGGUAGGCCUAACACAUGCAAGUCGAACGGCAGCACAGUAAGAGCUUGCUCUUACGGGUGGCGAGUGGCGGACGGGUGAGGAAUACAUCGGAAUCUACUUUUUCGUGGGGGAUAACGUAGGGAAACUUACGCUAAUACCGCAUACGACCUACGGGUGAAAGCAGGGAAUCUUCGGACCUUGCGCGAUUGAAUGAGCCGAUGUCGGAUUAGCUAGUUGGCGGGGUAAAGGCCCACCAAGGCGACGAUCCGUAGCUGGUCUGAGAGGAUGAUCAGCCACACUGGAACUGAGGCACGGUCCAGACUCCUACGGGAGGCAGCAGUGGGGAAUAUUGGACAAUGGGCGCAAGCCUGAUCCAGCCAUACCGCGUGGGUGAAGAAGGCCUUCGGGUUGUAAAGCCCUUUUGUUGGGAAAGAAAAGCAGCAGGUUAAUACCCCGCUGUUCUGACGGUACCCAAAGAAUAAGCACCGGCUAACUUCGUG